AGCGUAGUAGUGUAGUGGUCAACACGCCGAGUUGUGGCCUCGGAAACGAAGGUUCGACUCCUUCCUACUCGACCA
rnacentral:tRNA from 1 species